GCCAACGUAGCUCAGUCGGUAGAGCACGUCUUUGGUAAAGACGGGGUCAUGGGUUCGAUUCCCAUCGUUGGCUCAA
rnacentral:tRNA from 1 species